CAAAUUGUCACGUGACCAGAGCAGUUUACUUCCUGUUUGCACCUUGAGAAGAUGACGACUGCAUCAAAGCUCCAAAACAAAAGCUCUGUGUGAGUGUGGGGUCGGACUGAUUUAAUGUGUCUGAAGGCAGCAGAUGAAGAGCUGGAAGGAUGUUUCAUUAAGUGCUCUGAUGCCAGACAGGAAGUAAUCCAUCAGUCACAUGGAAGCGGAUUUUCACAGAGGAGCAUCCGAAAUCUUUCCUGGAGGUUUGUCGUCUGACCUGGAUCAGCUGCUUCAGGUGUUUGGAGCAGUGACCCUUCAGGACACCCCUCGUCUAAUAUUUGUUUUACAGGUGAACAGAAGCUCA